GUAACCUUUUGGAUGGAACCACACCAACCACACCUGUUUACCCCUGUUUCCAGCUUCUGUCCCUGGGUUUUGCAGAUGGCGAGUAUACCUGCACGAGUUGUGAUCACAGCUUGUGGAUGUUGUGGAGUAGAAGCAUAACGUUGCAUUAAAUGGAUACAGCUGCUUUUGACCCCUGUGAGGAAAGAUUUUCAGCUCUGCAGGUGGAAUGGGCGACAGAACCGACCCCAGCAGCCACAACAGACACCAUGACAGAGC